ensembl:miRNA
UGUGUGUUUGUGUGUGUGUGUGUGUGUGUGUGUGUGUGUGUGUGCUCUGUGUGCAGAGCAUGCAGACUGCCCCUCCUGUACACUUAGG